UACGUAGGGUGCGAGCGUUAAUCGGAAUUACUGGGCGUAAAGCGUGCGCAGGCGGUUAUGCAAGACAGAUGUGAAAUCCCCGGGCUCAACCUGGGAACUGCAUUUGUGACUGCACGGCUAGAGUGUGUCAGAGGGGGGUAGAAUUCCACGUGUAGCAGUGAAAUGCGUAGAUAUGUGGAGGAAUACCGAUGGCGAAGGCAGCCCCCUGGGAUAACACUGACGCUCAUGCACGAAAGCGUGGGGAGCAAACAGG
rnacentral:rRNA from 1 species